UCUAUACAUUGGUGGCCCAAA
rnacentral:misc_RNA from 1 species